ACUAAGACCUUUCUCAAGGUCACAUAAUAAAUAAUAAUAAUAAUAU
rfam:Sarcophilus harrisii ctg7180002525678, whole genome shotgun sequence.